rnacentral:rRNA from 1 species
UCGGAACGUAUCCUAGAGUGGGGGAUAGCCCGGCGAAAGCCGGAUUAAUACCGCAUACGCUCGAAAGAGGAAAGUGGGGGAUCGUAAGACCUCACGCCCAAGGAGCGGCCGAUGCCGGAUUAGCUAGUUGGUGAGGUAAAAGCUCACCAAGGCGACGAUCCGUAGCUGGUCUGAGAGGACGACCAGCCACACUGGAACUGAGACACGGUCCAGACUCCUACGGGAGGCAGCAGUGGGGAAUUUUGGACAAUGGGGGAAACCCUGAUCCAGCCAUUCCGCGUGAGUGAAGAAGGCCUUCGGGUUGUAAAGCUCUUUCGGCAGGAACGAAACGGUUACGGUCAAUACCCGUGACUACUGACGGUACCUGAAGAAGAAGCACCGGCUAACUACGUGCCAGCAGCCGCGGUAAUACGUAGGGUGCGAGCGUUAAUCGGAUUUACUGGGCGUAAAGCGUGCGCAGGCGGUUUCGCAAGUCAGAUGUGAAAGCCCCGGGCUUAACCUGGGAAUUGCGUUUGAAACUAUGGAACUUGAGUACGGCAGAGGGGGGUAGAAUUCCACGUGUAGCAGUGAAAUGCGUAGAUAUGUGGAGGAACACCGAUGGCGAAGGCAGCCCCCUGGGCCUGUACUGACGCUCAUGCACGAAAGCGUGGGGAGCAAACAGGAUUAGAUACCCUGGUAGUCCACGCCCUAAACUAUGUCAACUAGUUGUUGGAAGAGUCAAAUCUUUCAGUAACGUAGCUAACGCGCGAAGUUGACCGCCUGGGGAGUACGGUCGCAAGAUUAAAACUCAAAGGAAUUGACGGAAUCGAAUU